UACGUAGGUGGCAAGCGUUGUCCGGAAUUAUUGGGCGUAAAGGGCUCGCAGGCGGUUUGUCGCGUCUGCUGUGAAAAUCCGGGGCUCAACCCCGGACUUGCAGUGGGUACGGGCAGACUAGAGUGUGGUAGGGGAGACUGGAAUUCCUGGUGUAGCGGUGAAAUGUGCAGAUAUCAGGAGGAACACCGAUGGCGAAGGCAGGUCUCUGGGCCACUACUGACGCUGAGAAGCGAAAGCAUGGGGAGCGAACAGGAUUAGAUA
rnacentral:rRNA from 1 species